GGAGGGGGAUACUGGCUGGAAACGGCCGCUAAUACCCCAUAUGCCGAGAGGUGAAAUGAAUUUCGCCUGAGGAUGAGCUCGCGUCUGAUUAGCUAGUUGGUGGGGUAAGAGCCCACCAAGGCUUCGAUCAGUAGCUGGUCUGAGAGGAUGAUCAGCCACACUGGGACUGAGACACGGCCCAGACUCCUACGGGAGGCAGCAGUGGGGAAUUUUCCGCAAUGGGCGAAAGCCUGACGGAGCAACGCCGCGUGAGGGAUGAAGGCCUCUGGGCUGUAAACCUCUUUUAUCAAGGAAGAAGAUCUGACGGUACUUGAUGAAUAAGCCACGGCUAAUUCCGUGCCAGCAGCCGCGGUAAUACGGGAGUGGCAAGCGUUAUCCGGAAUUAUUGGGCGUAAAGCGUCCGCAGGCGGCCUCGUAAGUCUGUCGUUAAAGCGUGGAGCUUAACUCCAUUUCGGCGAUGGAAACUGUGAGGCUUGAGUGCGGUAGGGGCAGAGGGAAUUCCCGGAGGAGAGGUGAAAUUCGUAGAUAUCGGGAGGAAGGCCAAAGGCGAAAGCACUCUGCUGGGCCGAUUACUGACACUGACAGACGAAAGCUAGGGGAGCG
rnacentral:rRNA from 1 species